rnacentral:rRNA from 1 species
UACGUAGGGGGCAAGCGUUGUCCGGAAUUAUUGGGCGUAAAGAGCGCGUAGGCGGUCCGGUAAGUCGGUUGUGAAAGUCGGGGGCUCAACCCUCGGAUGCCGAUCGAUACUGUCGGGCUAGAGUCCGGAAGAGGCGAGUGGAAUUCCUGGUGUAGCGGCGAAAUGCGCAGAUAUCAGGAAGAACACCCGUGGCGAAGGCGGCUCUCUGGAACGCAACUGACGCUGAGACGCGAAAGCGUGGGGAGCAAACAGG